rnacentral:rRNA from 1 species
GACGAACGCUGGCGGCGUGCUUAACACAUGCAAGUCGAACGGAAAGGCCCUGCUUUUGUGGGGUGCUCGAGUGGCGAACGGGGGAGUAACACGUGAGUAACCUGCCCUGGACUUUGGGAUAACUUCAGGAAACUGGGGCUAAUACCGGAUAGGAGCUCCUGCUGCAUGGUGGGGGUGGGAAAGUUUCGGCGGUUGGGGAUGGACUCGCGGCUUAUCAGCUUGUUGGUGGGGUAGUGGCUUACCAAGGCUUUGACGGGUAGCCGGCCUGAGAGGGUGACCGGCCACAUUGGGACUGAGAUACGGCCCAGACUCCUACGGGAGGCAGCAGUGGGGAAUAUUGCACAAUGGGCGGAAGCCUGAUGCAGCAACGCCGCGUGCGGGAUGACGGCCUUCGGGUUGUAAACCGCUUUCGCCUGUGACGAAGCGUAAGUGACGGUAAUGGGUAAAGAAGCACCGGCUAACUACGUG